AACGAACGCUGGCGGCAGGCCUAACACAUGCAAGUCGAGCGCCCUUUCGGGGGAGCGGCGGACGGGUGAGUAACGCGUGGGAAUAUGCCCUUCUCUACGGAAUAGCCUCGGGAAACUGAGAGUAAUACCGUAUACGCCCUGUGGGGGAAAGAUUUAUCGGGGAAGGAUUAGCCCGCGUUGGAUUAGGUAGUUGGUGGGGUAAUGGCCUACCAAGCCGACGAUCCAUAGCUGGUUUGAGAGGAUGAUCAGCCACACUGGGACUGAGACACGGCCCAGACUCCUACGGGAGGCAGCAGUGGGGAAUCUUAGACAAUGGGGGCAACCCUGAUCUAGCCAUGCCGCGUGAGUGAUGAAGGCCUUAGGGUUGUAAAGCUCUUUCAGCUGGGAAGAUAAUGACGGUACCAGCAGAAGAAGCCCGGCUAACUCCGUG
rnacentral:rRNA from 1 species